UGGUCUUGACAUCCCGGGAAUCAUUUGGAAACAUUUGAGUGCCUCAUUAGAGGAGCCUGGUGACAGGUGCUGCAUGGCUGUCGUCAGCUCGUGUCGUGAGAUGUUGGGUUAAGUCCCGCAACGAGCGCAACCCUUGCCUUUAGUUGCCAUCAUUAAGUUGGGCACUCUAGAGGGACUGCCGGUGUCAAACCGGAGGAAGGUGGGGAUGACGUCAAGUCCUCAUGGCCUUUAUGACCAGGGCUACACACGUACUACAAUGGCAUAUACAAAGGGCAGCCACUUCGCGAGAAGGAGCGAAUCCUCAAAAUAUGUCUCAGUCCGGAUUGGAGUCUGCAACUCGACUCCAUGAAGUUGGAAUCGCUAGUAAUCGUAGAUCAGCAUGCUACGGUGAAUACGUUCCCGGGCCU
rnacentral:rRNA from 1 species